rnacentral:rRNA from 1 species
UUAAGAAUCUUGCACAAUGGGCGCAAGCCUGAUGCAGCGACGCCGCGUGAAUGAUGAAGGCUUUAGGGUUGUAAAGUUCAGUAAGCAGGGAAGAAUAAGCGCCGGGUAAUAUUCGGUGUGAUGACGGUACCUGCCUAAAGCCCCGGCUAACUACGUGCCAGCAGCCGCGGUAAUACGUAUGGGGCGAGCGUUGUUCGGAAUUAUUGGGCGUAAAGGGCGUCUAGGCGGGGAUUUAAGUUAGGUGUGAAAGCUAUGGGCUCAACCCAUAAACUGCAUCUAAAACUGGAUCUCUUGAGUUCGGGAGAGGAGAGCGGAAUUCCAGGUGUAGCUGUGAAAUGCGUAGAUAUCUGGAAGAACACCAGUGGCGAAGGCGGCUCUCUGGCCUAGAACUGACGCUGAAGCGCGAAAGCGUGGGGAGCGAACA